CGAAAAUGGAUAUAAUAAUGGUAUUGCAUCAAUUGAUUCAAAAUCGACUAAUGUUUUGUUCAAACAUUGAAUAUAAUGAUUAUAUGCAUCAUCUUCUUCAAUGAUGGUCGAUACCCAAAAUGAUAAUGAUGAUCCAACAAGAUGCAUUAGGCCAAAACGAACUAUCCAUUGAUUACGAUUUAUGAUCAACUAAUGAAAUGAAAUGAAAAAAUAUUAAUUAUUGUUGAUUAAAUAUAAAUUUAAAUUUA